GACGAUGACAAAAAUAUUGUUAUGCAAAUUUCAGAGAGCUAACUUUUGCCAUCAUAAUAACUACUUCAACCCAUCACUAGAAAAUGAAAUUUCUGAAACAAGCCCGUCAAAAAUUUUCAUUUCAGAUUUACCUCAACUGCUAGCACUGAUAGGAAAAAUUCAAACUCAAGAUUUUCAGUCACACCUCCAAGACCUAAAAAUUAACAUCUAG
rnacentral:misc_RNA from 1 species